AUCUCUUCGGAGACAUCUGAUAAAAUUGGAAUGAUACAGAGAAGAUUAGCAUGACCCCUGCUCAAGGAUGACACACACAAAUCGAGAAAUGGUCUAAAUUUUU
rnacentral:snRNA from 1 species